ACAUGCCAGUUCAAAACAUGUGUUACACAUACAUUACACAAUAACUUGAGAAAGAGGGAAGAGGAAAUACAUUUCUUUCCUUGUCAGAAACUCCCCAGAUAAGGAGUGGCUACCGGUUCAACAUAAAACCUCUGCUGUUGCUGGUUCCUGGGAUCCUGACUGAAAAGUCUUCCAUUGAGUUGGUGGUAGUCAACAGCAUCUCAAACACACCCAAUAAGACCUAUAGUACUGAUGUCGCAUUCAGAGGGGUCCUUAUCGGUGCCAUGAGAAGACUGCAGGAGACCACUGCAGGAUUCAAUUUCACCUACACAGAGGACCGCAACUAUGGUCCCUUCCUGGUGAGUGUGAAUGGUGUAGCCGGGAACAAAAAUGAGAACAAUUUCUGGUGAGAUUCUUGUUCAAACUGGGGGUAAUGGUAAACCAACUACCAUUGACCUGAUGUGGGUGAGUAAUGAUAAAAAGGCUCUCUCUGCAAAGCUACAGAAUUAAAAACAUUUGUUGUUUGUUUGCUGAGGGACAAGUGCAACACAUUGACACAUUGAACAUAUAAUCGUCCGAUUCAAAUAAAGGCAAAAACAUGCUAUUGACCUUAACUUACAUUCAUAAAAUAUAACAACUCCUCUGUCACACAAAUGUUGCACAUACUGUACAGUAUAACUACUCACACAGUGACCUAUUUGGACAUUAUUUCUGCAGGUAUUGGCUGUUACAUCCCAGAACCAAAUGACUGCAUCAUCCUGAGAUUUACUGUGUUCAUCCUGGGCUCGCAUUCUGUGAGUGGCAACGGUCAGAAUUCUGGGAAGCUGACAGAAGUUUACCUACACAGAGGACCUUUCCUGGAGAGUGUGAAUGGUGUUGCCUGGGACAAUGCUGAGCACACUUAUUCACUUAUUGGGAGCUCCCCUUGUUCAGACUGGGAAGAAUGGACCUGUGAUCAGACCUAAUGUGGGUAUUGGUUGUUACAUCCCAGAACCAAAUGACUGCAUCAUUCUGAAUUUUACAAAAUGGUGAACAUUCAGAAGCGCCUGACUGAUACUAUUUUGUUUUAAAAAGUGCUGUAAAGCAAUUUAUUAUUUUUGUCAUAAAAGGAAUAACGAUUCCAAUAAUUUGCAGUACACUAUUAGAAAAAAGGGUUCCAAAGGGUUCUCCAGCUAUUCCCAUAGGGGAACCCUUUUUGGUUCCAGGUAGAACUCUUUAGGGUUCCA